rnacentral:rRNA from 1 species
AAAAGGUUUGGUCCUAGCCUUAUUAUCAGUUUUUUCUUGAAUUACACAUGCAAGUCUCAGCACACCCGUGAGGAUACCCUUAUACCCUUAACCAGGCCAAGGAGAUGGCAUCAGGCACAACACCUGCCCACAACGCCUAGUCCCACCACACCCCCAAGGGCACUCAGCAGUGAUAAAUAUUGCUCAUAAGCUAUAGCUUGAAUCAGUUAAAGAAAGUAGAGCCGGCCAACUCGGUGCCAGCCGCCGCGGCUAAACCGCACGGACUCAAAUUGAUAGUUGUCGGCGUUAAGCGUGAUUAAAGUUCCUCUCAAUUAGAAUAAAACCUACCCUUAGCUGUGAAAAGCUUGAUGCUAGAGAAAACCAUAAACGAAAGUUAUUCU